CCUACGGGAGGCAGCAGUGAGGAAUAUUGGUCAAUGGGCGGGAGCCUGAACCAGCCAAGCCGCGUGAGGGAAGAAGGUACAGCGUAUCGUAAACCUCUUUUGUCAGGGAACAAAGGCGGGGACUAGUCCCCGGAUGAGGGUACCUGAAGAAAAAGCAUCGGCUAACUCCGUGCCAGCAGCCGCGGUAAUACGGAGGAUGCGAGCGUUAUCCGGAUUUAUGGGGUUUAAAGGGUGCGCAGGCGGCCUGUUAAGUCAGCGGUAAAAACCCGGGGCUCAACCCCGGCGAGCCGUUGAAACUGGCGGGCUGGAGUUGGAGAGAAGUACGCGGAAUGCGCGGUGUAGCGGUGAAAUGCUUAGAUAUCGCGCAGAACCCCGAUUGCGAAGGCAGCGUACCGGCUCCACACUGACGCUGAGGCACGAAAGCGUGGGUAUCGAACAGGAUUAGAUACCCCAGUAGUC
rnacentral:rRNA from 1 species